rnacentral:misc_RNA from 1 species
AACGGUCUAUACCUGCGGUACCUGCGGAAGGAUCAUUACCGAGUUUACAAAACUCCCAAACCCUUUGUGAACCUUACCUAUCGUUGCUUCGGCGGGACCGCCCCGGCGCCCUCGCGGCCCGGAACCAGGCGCCCGCCGGAGGCCCCAAACCCUCAUGUCUUUAGUGGUUUCCUCCUCUGAGUGACAUAAACAAAUAAAGUAAAAACUUUUAACAACGGAUCUCUAGAUCGGAAGAGCACA